UAAAAAUUCAAAUUACUGGUUUCGCGUUGAUAUUUCCCGCAAAUUGGAAUUUGUAACAGGAUCAUAUGAUGUGUGAAGAGGUGGCACGCUUAUUCGCGCCAACUCCUGGUAGGUAUACGGCCCGCUUUAAAAAUUCAAAUUACUGGUUUCGCGUUGAUAUUUCCCGCAAAUUGGAAUUUGUAACAGGAUCAUAUGAUGUGUGAAGAGGUGGCACGCUUAUUCGCGCCAACUCCUGGUAGGUAUACGGCCCGCUUUAAAAAUUCAAAUUACUGGUUUCGCGUUGAUAUUUCCCGCAAAUUGGAAUUUGUAACAGGAUCAUAUGAUGUGUGAAGAGGUGGCACGCUUAUUCGCGCCAACUCCUGGUAGGUAUACGGCCCGCUUUAAAAAUUCAAAUUACUGGUUUCGCGUUGAUAUUUCCCGCAAAUUGGAAUUUGUAACAGGAUCAUAUGAUGUGUGAAGAGGUG